rnacentral:lncRNA from 1 species
UUUUGAUAAUCUACACUAUAUAAAUUUUUUUAUAUACAUAAUGCACACGAUAUAACACACAGUCCUCUAAAAGAGGGGCGAAAGACACCACAGGAAUUCAAACUCAUAUGUCGAAAUAAACUGACAAUGUUUUGGCUAAAAAAAACAAAAAAAAAAACAGGCAAACUAUAGUACACAAAACACAACAUAGAAAACUCAAGACUAAACAACACGAACCCCACCAAAAACUGGGGUAGAUUUAAGGUGCUCCGGAGGGUUAGCAGAUUCUGCUCCACAUAUGGCACCCAUCGUGUUUCUCAUGUUAGUACAAACCCGGUAACAUGAAGCUUCUAACCUGUUCGGAGCACAUACGUUCACCCGGGGAGGUGCAGUCCUAAUGUUUAAAGUAGUGUUUUAAGAACCUGUUCUUCCACUUUUCGUUUAUUGCAAUGGAGUUGUCAGUUUUUCUUCGACAUAAGGUUUGAGUUGUAACUUUUUGUUGUUCACCUCAGUUUGUUUUAAAGUAUAUUGAUACAAAGUCAACAUGUACAAAAACUGAGAUUCUACUACCAUUGCACAUUAUCAUCAUAGGGAAAUAAACAACUUACUGUCCCUUUUCUCACCGACACUUACGGAUAAUGAAGGUGUGUUGACUCAAACUUUUGAAUGCUAUUAUACCCCAAAAGAGGGGUAAACGAUACCAAAAGGACAUCCAAACUCAUAAUUCGAAAAAAAAGACAACACUAUGGCUAAAAAAGAAAAGGUAAACAGACAAAUAAAAGUACACAAGACACAGCAUAGAAAACUAAUGACUAAGCAACAUAAACCCCGCUCAUGUUAAAACAAACCCGGUAAAUAUACUAGUUCGGUAGGUCAUAUUCGUGAAAAGGGAACGGAUUGUAGUUACCACAUAAGAAACAUAACCGAUAUCACCCAUGCAACGGAUUUUCCAAAACGGUCAACCAACUCCUGAUGGUGUCCGUAAAAUUUACAAAAUGGAUUAUUUCAACUUCACCAUUUUGAACUCUUGGUUUAAUAGCUUCCUUGUAUACUUGUCAACUAUAAGAGAAAAGAAAAUGGAACAACAUAAACUUUGAACUGUUACAAAAACCAACAUACACAGAAACGGACUAUGUGAUUACAACAUACAAUACGUCAUAAAGAAUAUCAGUGAGUAAAAUUAGUAAGUUCACAUUACUUUAUAAAGAAU